AUUGAACGCUGGCGGCAGGCCUAACACAUGCAAGUCGAGCGGAUGAAGGGAGCUUGCUCCUGGAUUCAGCGGCGGACGGGUGAGUAAUGCCUAGGAAUCUGCCUGGUAGUGGGGGAUAACGUCCGGAAACGGGCGCUAAUACCGCAUACGUCCUGAGGGAGAAAGUGGGGGAUCUUCGGACCUCACGCUAUCAGAUGAGCCUAGGUCGGAUUAGCUAGUUGGUGGGGUAAAGGCCUACCAAGGCGACGAUCCGUAACUGGUCUGAGAGGAUGAUCAGUCACACUGGAACUGAGACACGGUCCAGACUCCUACGGGAGGCAGCAGUGGGGAAUAUUGGACAAAGGGCGAAAGCCUGAUCCAGCCAUGCCGCGUGUGUGGAGAAGGUCUUCGGAUUGUAAAGCACUUUAAGUUGGGAGGAAGGGCAGUAAGUUAAUACCUUGCUGUUUUGACGUUACCAGCAGAAUAAGCACCGGCUAGCUUCGUG
rnacentral:rRNA from 1 species